CAGUCGGGUGGCCUUGGUCGGGAUCAGAUUCAGCUCAAUGAUGGCUCAACCUUCGGCCAAAGGGAGGGUCAUACCAGCAGAAGUCAGUCUCUACAGCUACCUUCAAAAGUAGAGGUCAAUGCAACCGCAGAGCCAUCGUUCUGGGACAAACUCAAGGAAAAGAUCGGAUGAAAAAAAAACUAUAAGCUACCAUUUACGGUAUUUGCAUACACUCAUACAAUUAUUGUUUUUUGCAUAUAUGUUUUUAAUAUCUUAGUAAAGAAAAUAAAUAAAGUUCUCUUCUGUGCAGCAAUAAUA